CCCUUAGAUGUUCUGGGCCGCACGCGCGCUACACUGAUGCAUUCAACGAGUCUAAAACCUGCUCUGAUAGGGGUGGGUAAUCUUUUGAAUGUGCAUCGUGAUUGGGAUAGAUGAUUGCAAUUUUUCAUCUUCGACGAGGAAUGCCUAGUAAACGCAAGUCAUCAGCUUGCAUUGAUUACGUCCCUGCCCUUUGUACACACCGCCCGUCGCUCCUACCGAUUGAAUGAUCCGAUGAAUAUCAUGGAUUGAGGAUUAUAGCAGGUUCGCCUGUCUUGAUCUUCGAGAAGUGAAGUAAAUCUUAUCAUUUAGAGGAAGGAGAAGUCGUAACA
rnacentral:rRNA from 1 species